AUGCAUCAUCUUUAUCAAGUUCACCCCUCUAAGGUUGAGAGAACCUCUCAGAAGGAGUAGAGAGAAUUUAGGAGCAGGAGGCUAUGGAUGAGAGCAAGAAAAUGCUGAUUUCUGGAUGUUGCAAGCAUCAAUUCACAGCAGCUAUGGUUUUGUACAAAAGACUUGCACAAGAUCUAGCAGUCAAAAUUCCCAAAUGGAUGAGAGAAGGGCCCCAAAGCUGCACCAAUCCAAGACAAUGUGUUGAAAGUUAAUUGGGAGAGGCAAUUUCCUUUUGGAAAUGUGUGGCCUUUCGUAAUUUGCUAUGUCACACAUAGUGGACGGGCACACAUCCAGGCCCAUGUGGGAAGCAUUAGUUAGACUCUAUAUAACAACAACAAGAACAAAAAUAGAGGACAUGAAAUUGGAAUCAAGCUUGGCCUUCAUCCAGCAGCUGGUGGAAGUAGAAGCAGACACCCAUAGCUAAACACUGAACUGAACUUGAAUCCAGUUGCAGAGAAGAGGAGUGAUGAGCAAAGGGGUCCAGACCAGGCUGGUGAAACCCACAGAAACAGCUGACCUGAACAUCUGGGAACUCUUGCUCUCCAGACUGAUAGCUGGAACACCAAGCACUGAUCCAGAACUCAGAAAUAUGGGUUUCUGUGAGGAGACCUCAGAAAUCUAUGGGACCUCCUGUAGAAGUUCAGUACUUACCCUAGAAAAGGUGUGGACUUUGGGAGCCCAUUCCAUAUAGAGGAAUACUCCCUGAGCCAAGACACAUGGGGCUGGCCCUAGGCCCUAUCCCAAAGGAUACAAUAGACACUGAUGACACCCUAUGAAAGGCCUCACCAUCCAGGGGGAGCAGAAAGGAUACAUGAUAGAUAGGGUUUUAGUUGGGGGCAGGAGGUAGGG
rnacentral:lncRNA from 1 species